rnacentral:rRNA from 1 species
CAGCCGCCGCGGGAAUACGUAGGUCCCGAGCAUUGUCCGGAUUUAUUGGGCGUAAAGCGAGCGCAGGCGGUUAGAUAAGUCUGAAGUUAAAGGCUGUGGCUUAACCAUAGUACGCUUUGGAAACUGUUUAACUUGAGUGCAGAAGGGGAGAGUGGAAUUCCAUAUGUAGCGGUGAAAUGCGUAGAUAUAUGGAGGAACACCGGUGGCGAAAGCGGCUCUCUGGCUUGUAACUGACGCUGAGGCUCGAAAGCGUGGGGAGCAAACAGGAUUAGAUACCCCCGUAGUCCCUGUCUCUUAUACA